UACGGAGGGAGCUAGCGUUGUUCGGAAUUACUGGGCGUAAAGCGCACGUAGGCGGCUUUGUAAGUUAGAGGUGAAAGCCUGGAGCUCAACUCCAGAACUGCCUUUAAGACUGCAUCGCUUGAAUCCAGGAGAGGUGAGUGGAAUUCCGAGUGUAGAGGUGAAAUUCGUAGAUAUUCGGAAGAACACCAGUGGCGAAGGCGGCUCACUGGCCCGGUACUGACGCUGAGGUGCGAAAGCGUGGGGAGCAAACAGG
rnacentral:rRNA from 1 species